AAGUCGUAACAAGGUUUCCGUAGGUGAACCUGCGGAAGGAUCAUUACUGAGUGAGGGCCCUCUGGGUCCAACCUCCCACCCGUGUUUAUUGUACCUUGUUGCUUCGGUGCGCCCGCCUCACGGCCGCCGGGGGGCUUCUGCCCCCGGGCCCGCGCCCACCGAAGACACCAUUGAACUCUGUCUGAAGAUUGCAGUCUGAGUAUAAACUAAAUAAGUUAAAACUUUCAACAACGGAUCUCUUGGUUCCGGCAUCGAUGAAGAACGCAGCGAAAUGCGAUAAGUAAUGUGAAUUGCAGAAUUCAGUGAAUCAUCGAAUCUUUGAACGCACCUUGCGCUCCUUGGUAUUCCGAGGAGCAUGCCUGUUUGAGUGUCAUUUGAAACUUCUCAACCCACUUUUUUUCUGUGGCUUGGAAAUGGGGGCAAAAGUGCAGGCCUUUUUUGUGUCUGCUUCCCUGAAAUGCAUUAGCGGUGUUUGCUACCACAGGUGUGGUAAUAGUUCAACGCCUAUUUGCUGCCGCUUCCAACAAUAAUUGAUGAUGACCAACUUGACCUCAAAUCAGGUAGGACUACCCGCUGAACUUAA
rnacentral:rRNA from 1 species